UUCACUGCUUCCCAGCUAUGAGAGGGUUUUAAAAUAUAUGUGUUGUAUGUGAUUUGUUUUUGGUAUAAAGUCUAUUUUCUGAGGAUUCUUUAUGAAGAAAGUUUACUUGGUUCUGGCUCUAACCUGGCCUCUUUUACCAAAAAAAGGGGUCUCUUCCCAAGACAGUUUGUCUCUGGAUGUUUUAUGGGAAGGUGUGGCACAGAGAGAUUAAGUGACUUGCCCAGGGUCACAUAACAGGUUGAUGGCAAAGUCAAGAGUACAACCUCAGUCACCAGGGUUAAAGUCACAUGCACAUCAGCAAUGGCUUGAACGAUGGGGUUUUGUGUGGAAAUUCUGAAGGAGUUGGAAGACCAAAGUCACCUCAGUAAUCUAUAAUGCCACUAUCACUAUUUCAGGAUUGUUGACUUCUUCAUGACCAGCACAGAAUCUCCUCCAUGAAAAGCAGUGUGUGCAGCAACACUUUUGUGUAGAUACUCCAUCAACAACCCCAUUUUGCAGUGACAUGAUGAGUAUCUUCAGUGAUGUGGAGGAUUGUGUGCAGGAUUUUCCUGCCUGGGUUAAUUUCCCCCUUAAGGCAUAGUUAAUUGCUGGAUUGAAGACAGCACAGCAAUAGUCCAUAGAAUUCCAUUGUAGAAGACUCGGUAGUGAUUUCCUGGCUUGAAUACAGUGUUCACUCAGGGUAGGAUUCACCCUGUGCAGAGGGCCAGCACAAGGCUAUGCACUUUUUAAGUCCUUCUUAAGCCUUAUUUUGAGGGCUCAAGUGGUGUAUAGGCCUUAUGCUCCCCCUCUGGGCAGGGAUGAAUUUCACUCACAGUGACUUUUUCUCUGGGUAGGUGGGAGGGUUCUUGGGGCAUCCAGGACUGUGGUCACCUUGUUACCCCCCUGCCUCCAGCAUGAGAGGGAUACUUGUGCUCAGCUGGUGUCAGGUCCCUGGCACCACCAGCCUGUGAACCACCCAAGCACUCUCCUCUUGGCAAUGCCAGCCCUUAUUUUGCCCUGCAGGGUAACAAUAGGUGUACCCCAGUCCCUGAGCUCCUUUGAAGCAUUCUCCUGUGGUGUCCAGCCCUUUAUCCACUGAACACUCAGAAAAAUACCUGGUCUGCUGUCCCCAAGGGAACAGUGUGCAUACCAGCUUGUGUGAUUCAACUCAGGAUCAGCUCCUUGUAUAACCUUGUGCCUAAAUAAGGUCUCCUCACCCCCAAAGCCAUCUGUUGCAUUUCAACCAAGGCUGGUUGUGAACUCCAUUUCAUAAAUGUAAUCACACUACUGCCCGUUUACUUCCUCAUUGGAGGAUAAGGGCAUGUUCUCUUUGUCUUGUACUUAUAUUCCCUAAAGUUCAUUGUCUGUUCAGAGUCACUUGUUUUUUCCAGUGUGCUCUUUCCUGUGGACUUCACACCUCUGUUGACUUUCUGUGUAAACGGGGGUAUCUGUUGUGUUAGCUUACAAUGCUUCUCAACAGGGAGAGAGGUGCAUAAAUAUUUCUUCCCUGACAGAAACCCUGUUUGUCAACCCUGCCUUGAUACAGACCUUACCACAUAUUUCAUAGACACUCAUAACACCUUAUAUAGUAUGUGUACAUACAGUUCACAAUGAUAUGAACGACCAGUAGGACCCUGGCUUUCAUUUAAGACCUCACAUAGUAUUCUUGGUGAGCCAGAAUGCACAUACCAGAAUCAGGACAGUCCUGUAACCCACUUGCCAGUUGGCACUGAGGGGUUCUUAGGUGACAGUAGGAACAGCAUUAGUUUUCCAAGUUCUUCUGAGAAAAUAUGCAUUUUCCACUGAUUCUUGAAAGGCCUGCUCUUAUAAGCAUGCAUCCUUCAUAUGUGCACCCUUCAUGACCUUAUCUACAUGUAACUUAGAGGAAUUGCUUCAUGUAAGGAAUACUACACUGGAAACUAAUGUCAGAUAGCUAUGGCCAAAUGAUUUCUGACUAUGGUUCCCAAAGCAAACGCCACACAUCUGUAAUAUAUUUAAGACACUGCUUACUCAUGCCUUCUCCUCCCUGUGGUCCCUUUUAAUGAAAAGUAUGAAAAAUUAAACUCCUUAGUAGACUCCAGCAAACUAAACAGGCCUCCGAACAAAUGCCUAGUAUUUUCCUCACACACCAUUAUAUCCAUAAUGGUUACUAGCUGUGGAAUUUACAUUGAUAAAUGAAAUGGGAUCUGUUAUGAGUUUCCUGCAACUUAUAAUACAUUUGGGGCCACAUGCUGCCUGAGGUUGGGGGCUGUUCUGUGGCCUUUAAAUUAGCAAUGGUUUUUGUGAGGCAGUAAGAAUGAGUGAGCGUACAGUAUGUAACUCCAGAAUUACAUUUAUUAACAAAA